rnacentral:rRNA from 1 species
AACGUAGGAGACAAACGUUAUCCGGAGUUACUGGGCGUAAAGGGCGUGUAGGUGGUUUCGUAAGUCUGGCGUGAAAUUUUUCGGCUUAACCGGGAAAGGUCGUCGGAUACUGCGGAGCUAGAGGACGGUAGAGGCGUGUGGAAUUCCGGGUGUAGUGGUGAAAUGCGUAGAGAUCCGGAGGAACACCAGUGGCGAAGGCGACACGCUGGGCCGUACCUGACACUGAGGGACGAAAGCUAGGGGAGCGAAUGGG